rnacentral:piRNA from 1 species
UAGGAGAUGCAAAGGCAGUGGUCCGC